rnacentral:piRNA from 1 species
UGCUUACUUCUGGGCAGGGUGAAUGU